UCACAAUAACCAUUUGAUGGAUGCAUAAUA
rnacentral:piRNA from 1 species